UGUAAACCAGUGCGGACAGCGGGUGUAAUACGGUGGGGGGAAGCGUUAGCAGGAUUUAUUGGGUUUAAAGGGUCCGUAGGCGGAUUAAUCAGUCAGUGGUGAAAUCUCAUAGCUGAACUAUGAAACUGCCAUUGAUACUGUUAGUCUUGAGUGAUGUUGAAGUUGCUGGAAUGUGUAGUGUAGCGGUGAAAUGCUUAGAUAUUACGCAGAACACCAAUUGCGAAGGCAGGUGACUAAACAUUAACUGACGCUGAUGGACGAAAGCGUGGGGAGCGAACAGGAUUAGAUACCCCGGUAGUC
rnacentral:rRNA from 1 species